rnacentral:rRNA from 1 species
AUUGAACGCUGGCGGCAGGCCUAACACAUGCAAGUCGAGCGAGCGGCGGACGGGUGAGUAAUGUAUGGGGACUGCCCGAUAGAGGGGGAUAACUACUGGACACGGUGGCUAAUACCGCAUACUAGCGGAUAACCCAUAUGGGAUUAGCUAGUAGGUGGGGUAAAGGCUCACCUAGGCGACGAUCCCUAGCUGGUCGGAGUGGCUGAUACGCCCAACUGGAACUUAGACACGGCCCAGACUCCUACGGAGGCAGCAGUGGGGAAUAUUGCACAAUGGGCGCAAGCCUGAUGCAGCCAUGCCGCGUGUAUGAAGAAGGCCUUCGGGUUGUAAAGUACUUUCAGCGGUGAGGCGUUACCCGCAGAAGAAGCACCGGCUAACUCCGUGCCAGCCGCCGCGGUAAUAC